AUAUUCGACUUACAAUAAGCGAAAAUCCGAGUUACGCCAAUGUCUUCGGCGCGCAUUAUUCGCGUAACUCGGGGAAAGACUGUACUCAAAAUCUCUCCUGCACCGAAACAAUGGUAAGGAAUGCAACUCAAUACAAAAGGGUUCCCCCAUUACUGUUCUGUUCCAGCAUAAGGUUAAGAUCGAACAAUCAGGAAUAGACCUACCUUGAAUGGAAUGUAAUGUAUGAUUACAACAGCAUUAAGACGAAGAGAGUCUUUUCAAAAGUGCACUUUGACCUUAAUUUGAAUGGCAUGAGUGGUGUACAUACUAACUGGGUUAAAUCUUGCUAUCAUGUAGAAAUAAGAGAAAAAAUACGGAAAGCAAAAGAGAAAGCAAUAGAAAUGAGCCAUGGAAAACACAAGACGAGAGCUCAUACGAAAAUGCGAGGAAAACUCUGCGAAGAGAAAAGUACAGAGAACAAAAUAUCUUCAGGAAAAUGAGGUUUAUACAAACACAUAACCCUUCAUACAGUAGGCGGAAAAACAGCCAUCCUGUUUGAAAAACUUAAAACACAAACGACUAGCGUUAGAUGAAAAAACCGCUAUCUAAAAGGACAUUGAACAGCAACAGCAGAAAAAAAACCAACCAAGUAGCCUAGAAAUCCCGACCCUAUACCACAAUGCUGACCUCUUUUGGAUGUUCGAAGGAUCUAUUUUUAAAACACGAAUCAGCCUGACGUGAUUAAAUAAUCGGGUCUAUAUCGCACUAAACGAAGCAAGCCUCAUGUGCUACGCUCGGCAUCUUAAGGCUUUCUGCAAACAACAGGACAAUUUCGAAGCUCACUUUUGCCAUGACAAACAACUCAUCGUCUGUUUCUUGUUUUUUAAUUGAAAAAAGUGCAUUAUGCAUUACUAAAUGUUCAAAACCAAGCAAGGAUCGAUAACAACAAACCGCACAUGUAUGGUGACGUAAUGUUAAGAGGAAAUCCUUCCUGUUCGAUUGAAUUAUACAGGCUAUUGGUGCAGGACCAAGGCGUUUCUGUUUGCGAGACGAUGGAGACGACGAUGCUACAUUCAUCGCGUAUCAAAUACGACUUGGAGUUUUAGUACCGCAGCAAGGAAGGAUGAAGGGAAAAUAAAGGAAAAGAGGAGAGAAAGCUACGAUUCCAGAAGGAGCUCACUCUUCGGCACGGCAAGUGAAAAAACAGCACGAAGAACUUUGCCUCGGAUUUGUAAUGAAAAGCUUUUUGGUAUUGUUUUCGCUUCUUCUAUUCACUGUAACCCACACUUGCCGUUUGAUCAAUCACUACAAUGUUUCGAUCCGUGGUUUAUCUGAAAUACCAGUAAAAAUCGCCCCCAUGCCUACUGGAAUUAUUAACCGUUAACGGGUACAUCGUUUUGCCUCGUACUAAAACACAAUCGAACCGAUAAGGAGGACGUCAGCAACGA